CCUUUUCUGGCCUUGUAAUAUGCACGUAAUAAAUUAAUCAGCUAACGUCAUGAGGGGUUGUGGGAUUUCAGGCCAUCUGAGCACGUAGCUAUGAGGACGCUUUCUGCACCUUUGCAUGCAACAAAUGCAGAGCAGCCCAGCUUCACCCAUGUCCACUGUGAGGCAAACAGUUCCUGGCUAUGUUUGCUAUGGCCUGAGCUCUGGGAAGUGCUCUCUCACUCCAUCAGCCCUACUGCACUUGCUUGUUUUUUUCCCCUACAAACUGAAAAAGAGGAGGGAAAUGUAUCUUUGCAACCACGCAAGCAAGAAUUAGCCCAACUGUAUUUUACAGGUAAACUAACAAAUAAGAGCAAUCUGAGCAGCCCCAGGGAGCUGAAUUUGUUUGCCGCUGGGCUGUUCUAUCUGCAGCUGGCAUCGGUGGAAACCUGAGUGCUCCAUUAAAAGUCGACAACCUCUGUUUGCUGGGGCACGGGGCAAACAGAGCCAGCCUGUUCUGCAGACAGACUGACUGCCUUCAUCCACCCCCCCCAACACCCUGCUGGUGAUGGGAAAUGAUGGGACUGGAACAAAAAGCUUGAAACUAGGACUCUGUACACUUACCCUGUGGCCGUUGUACCAAGGAGGAGUAGUGACACAAGACACAACACUUCAGCUAAAGGUCAGUGUAGUAGCGCACAGGAAGUACACUGAGCUUCGAUGGUAUCACAGUGUGAAGGGAAAUGGAUGGUGCUAACCCAAACACAAGGGAAGUGGUCUUUCCACUCUGAGUCUACAGAUAUUUGAAUGGUCCAAGUCUACUGCGUGGCCUUGUGGAUUCUGAGACAUCAGAGGCAUUGGGGUAGGGAAGAAGCCCA
ensembl:lncRNA